GGAGUCGCCCGGGGCAGACGUGGGGCUCUUGCCGUGGGCGCGCAGGGCGGGAGGCCGGAGCACUGCUGCCUCGGAGGACGGCGCGGUGUUUCAGUAGAGUUUCUGAGGGAAAAGCUGAGGGUAACGCUGUCUGAGGGGGACAGUGAACAUUUUGGAAGGAAAAGCUGAGGCAAAGGAUCACCACCCUUGAAGACAAAAUCCAAGAAGCAGCCAAACAACUCUUGAAGUCAUGAGGUGGAAUGAGGAAAUAUUAACCAGUUCAUGUUCACCAGUACGCAAAGCCCCUCCUCAGCAAUGGAAAAGGACAAGAGAUCAUGGGUUAAAAAGUCACACGCCACCUCUGUCCCUAUCUGCUACCUGAAGACUCUGUCAGGUGUGUAGAGAUUGCAGAUCCAGGUCACAUCAGACCCAAGUGUGAUGAAAAUGUUCUCUCUUCUUCUAUCCCUAUUUUAUCAUCAAAAUCAAGUAUAUGAAAUUCAAGAUUACUUUUGUUUUCUUCUAUGAUGAGAUUAAGAAUUCAAAUUUAGGAAUCUUUCUCUCUGACAUACCAAUUGCAAUAAGCAAAUCAGCCAGAAAAAGCCGCUGUUACACACCAAGUCUUUAACUAAUCCUCCUUAGAACUAGAUCCUGCACAGAUAAUUCAAAACAACCUGUCCCACACACACCGAGUGGGGUGGCAGCUGCUUGGAGGGCUCCCCCUGUAACCAGGGGGUAUCUCUGGCCCCGGCCUUUCAGAGGUGUGGGGCCAGGUGUAUGCCCCCCCUGUUCUCGGGGCUGGGGCCCCGGCCCCCUGGCCUUUGGCCGUGAAGCUCCGCUGCCUGGCCGCCAAGUCUCAUUCCUGUUGCUGUGGGGGAAAGCCGAGCUCUGGGGCUCCCUGGGUGUCGACUUGCCUGUAAUCAGGUGGCGGGUCUGGGAGCCUUUUGCUCCACUGGCAGCCUGUGUGGGGCGACCCCCUCGCUUAGCGGGGCAGCCCCUGACUAUCGGAGAGAAGCAGCCUCCAUGGGCCUUCGGGACAAGGGCUGCCCUGUAAGGUGGGGACCAGCCAGCACCCUGGGGUCCCGGGCACUUUGCGGUCCAGGCAGUGGCUGGAGCCCCCUGGCAGGAGGGGUGUGGCAGCUCUUUGGCUGCUGCUUCACAUGCCCAGCUCAUUUGCCCAGGGACGCCUGCCUCCAAGCCCAGUUCCAGCACCAGCGGGAGCUGUGCUGUGUGUCAUCGCUUUGGUGAAAUAACUCUUGUUGUCUCCACAAAAAGGACAACUUUUUGGGUUUGGGUUGUGAGAUUUUCAUCAGAUACUUUUUUAGUGGACAUUCCUUUUGUGAUUGUUAUUUUCAGCAUGUUUCUGCGUUAGGUGUUUAACUGUGGGGAACUGGCGUAUUUUGUAUAAUGGAUGAUUGUUUCUGUGGGAGAACUCUUUUAGGUUGUUUGCUUUAUUUUGUGUGUCAAUUGGUUUGGUUUUAUUGCAGCCUCCUCACAGGGUUUAAAGUUUCUGGACCCAGUCCUCCAGAG